rnacentral:rRNA from 1 species
GAUGAACGCUAGCGGCAGGCUUAAUACAUGCAAGUCGUGGGGCAGCAGGUCUGUAGCAAUACAGAUGCUGGCGACCGGCAAACGGGUGCGGAACACGUACACAACUUUCCUUUAAGUGGGGAAUAGCCCAGAGAAAUUUGAAUUAAUACCCCGUAACAUAGUGAAAAGGCAUCUUUUUAUUAUUAUAGCAGCAAUGCGCUUAAUGAUGGGUGUGCGUGUGAUUAGGUAGUUGGCGGAGUAAUAGCCCACCAAGCCUACGAUCAGUAACUGGUGUGAGAGCACGACCAGUCACACGGGCACUGAGACACGGGCCCGACUCCUACGGGAGGCAGCAGUAAGGAAUAUUGGGCAAUGGACGCAAGUCUGACCCAGCCAUGCCGCGUGGAGGAUGAAGGUCCUCUGGAUUGUAAACUUCUUUUAUCUGGGAAGAAAUCCAUCUUUUCUUGGGUGGUUGACGGUACCAGAUGAAUAAGCACCGGCUAACUCCGUGCCAGCCGCCGCAGUAA